UACCUACUCUUGACAUCCAGAGGAACUUAGCCAGAGAUGCUUUGGUGCCUUCGGGAACUCUGAGACAGGUGCUGCAUGGCUGUCGUCAGCUCGUGUUGUGAAAUGUUGGGUUAAGUCCCGCAACGAGCGCAACCCUUAUCCUUUGUUGCCAGCGGUCCGGCCGGGAACUCAAAGGAGACUGCCAGUGAUAAACUGGAGGAAGGUGGGGAUGACGUCAAGUCAUCAUGGCCCUUACGAGUAGGGCUACACACGUGCUACAAUGGCGCAUACAAAGAGAAGCGACCUCGCGAGAGCAAGCGGACCUCAUAAAGUGCGUCGUAGUCCGGAUUGGAGUCUGCAACUCGACUCCAUGAAGUCGGAAUCGCUAGUAAUCGUAGAUC
rnacentral:rRNA from 1 species